GCUUCAGUAGCUUAACUCUUAAAGCAUUGGUCUUGUAAACCAAAGAAUGAAGAAUAAAACCUUCCUGAGGCUC
rnacentral:tRNA from 1 species